rnacentral:rRNA from 1 species
AAUGGGGGAUAACGUAGCGAAAGUUACGCUAAUACCGCAUAUGCCCUGAGGGGGAAAGGUGGGGAUCGCAAGACCUGUCGUUUUCGGAGUGGCCGAUAUCAGAUUAGCUAGUUGGUGGGGUAAAGGCCCACCAAGGCGACGAUCUGUAGCGGGUCUGAGAGGAUGAUCCGCCACACUGGGACUGAGACACGGCCCAGACUCCUACGGGAGGCAGCAGUGGGGAAUUUUGGACAAUGGGGGCAACCCUGAUCCAGCCAUGCCGCGUGAGUGAAGAAGGCCUUCGGGUUGUAAAGCUCUUUCAGCCGGAAAGAAAUCGCGCAGGCUAAUAUCCUGUGUGGAUGACGGUACCGGAAGAAGAAGCACCGGCUAACUACGUGCCAGCAGCCGCGGUAAUACGUAGGGUGCGAGCGUUAAUCGGAAUUACUGGGCGUAAAGCGUGCGCAGGCGGUUUUGUAAGACAGGCGUGAAAUCCCCGGGCUUAACCUGGGAACUGCGUUUGUGACUGCAAGGCUAGAGUGUGGCAGAGGGGGGUAGAAUUCCG